GACGAACGCUGGCGGCGUGCUUAACACAUGCAAGUCGAGCGAGGAACUUCGGUUCCUAGCGGCGGACGGGUGAGUAACACGUGGGCAACCUGCCUCACAAUGGGGGAUAGCCUUCCGAAAGGAAGAUUAAUACCCCAUAACACAAAGGAAACGCAUGUUUCUUUUGCCAAAGAAUUUCGUUGUGAGAUGGGCCCGCGGCGCAUUAGCUUGUUGGUGAGGUAACGGCUCACCAAGGCUUCGAUGCGUAGCCGACCUGAGAGGGUGAUCGGCCACAUUGGAACUGAGACACGGUCCAGACUCCUACGGGAGGCAGCAGUGGGGAAUAUUGCACAAUGGAGGAAACUCUGAUGCAGCAACGCCGCGUGAGUGAUGAAGGUCUUCGGAUUGUAAAGCUCUGUCUUCUGGGACGAUAAUGACGGUACCAGAGGAGGAAGCCACGGCUAACUACGUGCCAGCCGCCGCUGUAACAC
rnacentral:rRNA from 1 species